rnacentral:rRNA from 1 species
UACAGAGGUCUCAAGCGUUGUUCGGAUUCAUUGGGCGUAAAGGGGUGCGUAGCGGCGCGGUAAGUCGGGUGUGAAAUCUUGGAGCUUAACUCCGAAACUGCAUUCGAUACUGCCGUGCUUGAGGACUGGAGAGGAGACUGGAAUUUACGGUGUAGCGGUGAAAUGCGUAGAUAUCGUAAGGAAGACCAGUGGCGAAGGCGGGUCUCUGGACAGUUCCUGACGCUGAGGCACGAAGGCCAGGGGGAGCAAACGGG